ACGUUACCCGCAGAAGAAGCACCGGCUAACUCCGUGCCAGCAGCCGCGGUAAUACGGAGGGUGCAAGCGUUAAUCGGAAUUACUGGGCGUAAAGCGCACGCAGGCGGUCUGUCAAGUCGGAUGUGAAAUCCCCGGGCUCAACCUGGGAACUGCAUUCGAAACUGGCAGGCUUGAGUCUUGUAGAGGGGGGUAGAAUUCCAGGUGUAGCGGUGAAAUGCGUAGAGAUCUGGAGGAAUACCGGUGGCGAAGGCGGCCCCCUGGACAAAGACUGACGCUCAGGUGCGAAAGCAUGGGGAGCAAACAGGAUUAGAUACCCUGGUAGUCCACGCCGUAAACGAUGUCUACUUGGAGGUUGUGCCCUUGAGGCGUGGCUUCCGGAGCUAACGCGUUAAGUAGACCGCCUGGGGAGUACGGCCGCAAGGUUAAAACUCAAAUGAAUUGACGGGGGCCCGCACAAGCGGUGGAGCAUGUGGUUUAAUUCGAUGCAACGCGAAGAACCUUACCUGGUCUUGACAUCCACAGAACUUUCCAGAGAUGGAUUGGUGCCUUCGGGAAC
rnacentral:rRNA from 1 species